UAACCCUCCACAUACGCACUCCUCUCUCUCUUCCUCCUGUGUCUUUCCCUGUCUAUGAAGAGGAGGAUACAGUACAUGUGGAGUCAGAGAGAGGGAGAGUCCUAUUGGCAUUCUUUCUCAUCCACGCUGCACACUUUUGUUCCAAGCGGCAUCGUGAGAUCAGGCGAGACAUAGAGAGUGGCUCCGGGGCCUCGACGUUGCUCAACAGGAUUCCGCAGGGCCUGGAUUAAACGAUUGGAGCCUGAGGUUUGAGAUGGGUUUGUCAUCAACAACGUGCUUCCCAAGUCCACUUCUUCUUCUCCUCACUCUGCAAUGGGGAAAGAAAAACAGCCACAAUGGACCUAUUGUCUCCUUUCGAACUCAGCAAGGUCUUCUGUUAAGUUACACACCAUUAUACUGCUCUACAGCACUGUGCUCUCAUUGCCUUUAUGAGAGGCAUAACCUAGAGCUCUGUUCAACUCAAUGGAUGAGUUUGCAUCAAGGUUUCUGUGGACUGCUGUAGUGUUGUUGAUAAUUGUAUGCAGCACAGGAAUUGUUCCUCGCUAAUACCCCUUGCUUUUCACUUACCUUGCAUUGCACACUUCUGGCAUUGGAUUGUUAUUUAUCGACAAUCACAUUGAUAUAAUUGGACAUUGUGCUAAGGCCUCACCAUUACCAUUCUAGCCCAUUACGCUGCCUUGCCAAUGGAUCAGCUGGUUCUCGGAAGAGCAAAACCAACUGAAUGGGAGCAGAAACAGGACAGCUUAACGACAACACAUUGUCAGAAGAGAAGGAUGCUGUGACGAGUGGCUAAUCGUUUUCUCAAAAUACGCUGUCGAAUCACCAAGCUGUCAAGGUUGUUGUUUUUCCAACGGUCUGUUUACUGCUGCUGGACCUCCUCAGACAACGACAAUCUGUUCGGAUUAUUUUGUAAAUCAUAUUCAAAAAUGGUGGCCGUCAAUCAACAGGAAAUCACACAGUACUUCAUCACAGAGAAAAACAGAGAGACAGUGUACAGUGUGGUGGAGUUGGGGGCCCUGCAGGCGUUCAGGACCCAGCUCAAGAACAUGACGGUGCGUGCGGGGACUACGGUGGUGCUGAGGUGUGAGGUGCUGAGGCCCUCAGGGGCCGUCCAGUGGGUGAAGGAUGACCUGCUUCUGGGUCCACAACAGAGUCUGCCGGGGUUCCCUCACUACAGCCUGUUGGGGGACCCUAAGAGAGUUCCUCCCUCUAAACCUUACUUUGAGCUGGAGACCACAGACCCAUGGGUAGCAGGGAAAAGCUACAAUGUCACAUGACACUGUCACAGUGAUCACUCUGUUUAAAGACGGAGUUGAGCUGACAGGUGUAGAGUCUUUCCCUAUGUCUGGCUCUGAGGAAAAGCUCCAGAACACACACGCUACAAAAGGCCACGUGUGGACCCUGACCCCAGGCUGGCAUUGGGGAAAACAUCCUCACACUGAGCAACCACUCUGAGGGGAGACUUUCAACCCCGGAUGAACUCACACCUACUGGGGACUCAAUCCCAACGCUCAACCUGGAGUGUUAGAGGUCGACAUGACGUCUCUACUGCUGUCACAUUCAACCCAUUCAACUCUGUCAAUUCCUCUGGUAUCAGUGCAAUCCAAACUCCAACUCAAGCCUGCUACACUCUGAUAAUACUGAUCAGAGGAGCCUGGGAAUGAAACUCAAGCCCAAAUUCUAAACUCUACUGAUGCUAAAUAUAAUUGUCAGGACUGUGAAACCAUAACAUCUCCAACGGUGUAGGAACUACAGUACACAACAUAAUAGGGGUGGGUGAUUUAACAUCUCAAAGGAUCGUUUCCUUGUUUACCCUUUGUCUUGUUUGGAUAAACAUUAUAUCUUUGAAACAAUAUGGCAACCCAGCCUAUUGUUUGCUAGUUUUAGUUGUUCCUCAAUAUUUUGUAGAUCAGUUUCAGUAACUGAUUGUUCUGGAGUCCACCCACCUGGUUCUGUCCCAGGUCUAAAUCAGCUGCUGAUUAAAUGCUACUGUUACUGAAGACACCCAAUGGUGAACAUUCCCAUUCUACUCCUUGUUUUCGUUUCACCCACGCCAUAUUAUCCACAGCCGUCCAUAUGAAAUACUGUCUCUAUCUAUCUCCCUCUGAAUUAGACACUGUCCGAUUCUAUCUCCUACACUUUAACCACCGCCCAGAACUGGAAAUGCUUCUACACCUCCCCUCUCUCACUCCCUCCCU